rnacentral:rRNA from 1 species
GACGAACGCUGGCGGCGUGCUUAACACAUGCAAGUCGAACGGUGAAGGGGCCGGUUUUUGCUGGUUCUGGAUGAGUGGCGAACGGGUGAGUAACACGUGAGUAACCUGCCCCCUUCUUCUGGAUAACCGCAUGAAAGUGUGGCUAAUACGGGAUAUUCUGCGCCUGCUGCAUGGUGGGUGUGGGAAAGAUAUUGUUUCGGUGGGGGAUGGGCUCGCGGCCUAUCAGCUUGUUGGUGGGGUGAUGGCCUACCAAGGCGUUGGCGGGUAGCCGGCCUGGGAGGGUGGCCGGUCACACUGGGACUGAGACACGGCCCAGACUCCUACGGGAGGCAGCAGUGGGGAAUAUUGCACAAUGGGCGCAAGACUGAUGCAGCGACGCCGCGUGAGGGAUGGAGGCCUUCGGGUUGUAAACCUCUUUCGCAAGUGAAGCAGGCCUGUCCCUUUUGUGGGUGGGUUGACGGUAGCUGGAUAAGAAGCGCCGGCUAACUACGU